GUGCAGCAGGCGCGAAUCUUUAGCAAUGCCCGAAAGGGUGACUAUGCGACGCCGCGUGAGCGAUGAAGUCCUUCGGGACGUAAAGCUCUGUCAGGUGGGAUGAAUUUUUCGACCUUAACAGGGUUGGAAUUUGACCGUACCACCAGAGGAAGCCACGGCUAAACUCCGUGCCAGCAGCCGCGGUAAUACGGAGGUGGCAAGCGUUGUUCGGAUUUAUGGGUGUAAAGGGCAUGUAGGUGUCCUAGUAAGUCCUGGCUGAAAUCCUUCGGCUCAACCGAAGAACGUGUCAGGAAACUGCUGGGAUUGAGUACGGAAGAGGAGAACGGAA
rnacentral:rRNA from 1 species